UUUAAGUGCAAUAGUAAACUGACUAGGGUU
rnacentral:piRNA from 1 species